UUUCCACGCCCUGGAGCUCCGCAGGAGAAAGACCGGGGACGAGACCAGCCUCAGGACGACUUUAAACCCAAAAGGAAGCGACCCUCGGGCUCUCACGGGGAUGUCUCAAUUUGCUCUGGGCAAAGGAAGACGCCGGAGAAUUUCCAGGUCUGUGGGGACCCCACGUCCCAGGGACAGAAGCCCUGGGAACCUAGUUAGCGCAGACUUAAUACAACACAGAGCAAAACUC
rnacentral:lncRNA from 1 species